GAAGUUUUCAGAGAUGAGAAUGUGCCUUCGGGAACCGUGAGACAGGUGCUGCAUGGCUGUCGUCAGCUCGUGUUGUGAAAUGUUGGGUUAAGUCCCGCAACGAGCGCAACCCUUAUCCUUUGUUGCCAGCGGUCCGGCCGGGAACUCAAAGGAGACUGCCAGUGAUAAACUGGAGGAAGGUGGGGAUGACGUCAAGUCAUCAUGGCCCUUACGACCAGGGCUACACACGUGCUACAAUGGCGCAUACAAAGAGAAGCGACCUCGCGAGAGCAAGCGGACCUCAUAAAGUGCGUCGUAGUCCGGAUUGGAGUCUGCAACUCGACUCCAUGAAGUCGGAAUCGC
rnacentral:rRNA from 1 species